rnacentral:rRNA from 1 species
GACGUAGGUGGCGAACGUUAUCCGGAAUUAUUGGGCGUAAAGGGUGCGUAGGUGGCCUGACAAGUUAUCAGUGGCAAAUCGAGGCUCAACCUCGUGGAAACUGGUAAUACUGUCCGGCUUGAGUACAGGAGAGGUUAACGGAACUCUAUGUGGAGCGGUAAAAUGCACAGAUAUAUAGAAGAACAUCAAUAACGGCGAAGGCAGUUAACUAUUCUGUUACUGACACUGAGGCACGAAAGCGUGGGGAGCAAAACGG